CUCCUACGGGAGGCAGCAGUGGGGAAUUUUGGACAAUGGGCGCAAGCCUGAUCCAGCCAUACCGCGUGAGUGAAGAAGGCCUUCGGGUUGUAAAGCUCUUUCAGCCGGAAAGAAAUCGCGUUGGUUAAUAUCCAGCGUGGAUGACGGUACCGGAAGAAGAAGCACCGGCUAACUACGUGCCAGCAGCCGCGGUAAUAAU
rnacentral:rRNA from 1 species